ACUGUGCACAUCUUGACGGUACCUAAUCAGAAAGCCACGGCUAACUACGUGCCAGCAGCCGAGGUAAUACGUAGGUGGCAACCGUUAGCCGGAAUUAUUGGGCGCAAAGCGCGCGUAGGCGGUUUUUUAAGUCUGAUGUGAAAGCCCACGGCUCAACCGUGGAGGGUCAUUGGAAACUGGAAAACUUGAGUGCAGAAGAGGAAAGUGGAAUUCCAUGUGUAGCGGUGAAAUGCGCAGAGAUAUGGAGGAACACCAGUGGCGAAGGCGACUUUCUGGUCUGUAACUGACGCUGAUGUGCGAAAGCGUGGGGAUCAAACAGGAUUAGAUACCCU
rnacentral:rRNA from 1 species